rnacentral:rRNA from 1 species
UACGUAGGUGGCAAGCGUUGUCCGGAUUUACUGGGCGUAAAGAGCGCGCAGGCGGUCGUUCAAGUCGCGUGUGAAAGCCCCCGGCUCAACUGGGGAGGGUCACGCGAUACUGAUCGACUCGAAGGCAGGAGAGGGAAGUGGAAUUCCCGGUGUAGUGGUGAAAUGCGUAGAUAUUGGGAGGAACACCAGUGGCGAAGGCGGCUCGCUGGACCGGUUCUGACGCUGAGGCGCGAAAGCGUGGGGAGCAAACGGG